rnacentral:rRNA from 1 species
GAUGAACGCUGGCGGCGUGCCUAAUACAUGCAAGUCGAGCGAACGGACGAGAAGCUUGCUUCUCUGAUGUUAGCGGCGGACGGGGGAGUAACACGUGGAUAACCUACCUAUAAGACUGGGAUAACUUCGGGAAACAGGAGCUAAUACCGGAUAAUAUUUUGAACCGCAUGGUUCAAAAGUGAAAGACGGUCUUGCUGUCACUUAUAGAUGGAUCCGCGCUGCAUUAGCUAGUUGGUAAGGUGACGGCUUACCAAGGCAACGAUGCAUAGCCGACCUGAGAGGGUGAUCGGCCACACUGGAACUGAGACACGGUCCAGACGCCUACGGGAGGCAGCAGUAGGGAAUCUUCCGCAAUGGGCGAAAGCCUGACGGAGCAACGCCGCGGGAGUGAUGAAGGUCUUCUGAUCGUAAAACUCUGUUAUUAGGGAAGAACAUAUGUGUAAGUAACUGUGCACAUCUUGACGGUACCUAAUCAGAAAGCCACGGCUAACUACGUG